rnacentral:siRNA from 1 species
UGCUAGUGCAUGGAUUGAAUUA